UACGUACGAGGCGAGCGUUAUCCGGAAUUACUGGGCGUAAAGCGCGCGCAGGUGGUGCGAUAAGUAGGGCGUGAAAUCUCCCGGCCUAACUGGGAGGGGUCGCCCUAGACUGUCGGACUUGAGGACUGCAGAGGUGGGUGGAAUUCCUGGUGUAGUGGUGAAAUGCGUAGAGAUCAGGAGGAACACCGGUGGCGAAGGCGGCCCACUGGGCAGUCACUGACGCUGAGGCGCGAAAGCUCGGGGAGCGAACGGG
rnacentral:rRNA from 1 species